GCCUCUUAGCGUCUGGUGAUAACAAUUCCCCAGUGCCUCUGCCUCUCUGUCAUCGGCUGCACUUGUGACAGGGGAUCCCUCCUUCUACUUCUAACACCUCGGCCUGACCAUCUGCACUGCAGAAAGCCAUUUGUCUGACUGCCUUUUGAUUCAAACCCCAUAAGCACUACCCACAGUAGCCUAUAGAGCAACGAGUCGAUGUCUGAGCUCUCCAGCGCUUGGACCAAAAAUGUCAUAAGUAUUUCUCUGAUUCAACUUGAAAUGGAAAACAGCUUCCUUUGAUCUGAAACUCCAUUCUUCUGCAAAUACACACUUUUUAAAAGAAAAAACAGGCCUACAGAGAAGUAGCUAAUGUGUUUUUACAGCUGUACCUCUUAAAGGACCCAUUCUCAGCCCAAGUAUGAUGCAGCACUCAAUGAAGUUAACACAAAGCCACCAAAUUAAAUGGCUCUUGGACAAGCUAUGAAACUCCCUGCAGAUAGCAUAUAACAGGAUUUCAGAAAUAAAAUGUAGCCAAUUGUAAAUCAUGGCAAAUCAUAAAAUCAAAACAAAAUACGUUCUUGUGUUUUGUCACACUACUGUUUUGCUACCUAGUUUCUGACCAGUCUCAGAGAAGCAGACUGGGUGUUAGGUGUUGGGAAGAGCUGGGCUGUAACUCCACUGCUUAUCCAGGUGUGCUGGGAGGUGGAUAUUCAACUGUCAUGGCUAUCUGUGACAGUUACAGCUUUCUUAAAUACCCUCCUUGAAGGAAACCAUGCACACGGUCCUGGUGUUCUCAGCAAGAAAGAGCACCACCACC